rnacentral:rRNA from 1 species
UUAGAUAAAUAAUUAUUUUAUUUUGAAUAAUAUUAACUAUUUUGGCAGAAAAGUGUAAUAAAUUUAGAAUUUAUGUAUGUAAUAAUUUACAAAUAGUAUUGUUUUUAUUUGAAAUUAUUUUAUUUAUUAUUAGAAGUUUAUUAUUGAUUA